AUGUUGUCCUCCACUCACUGUACAUAUAUUACCCCACAAAAGCUGUACAGUAAAACAUCAAAGUUUACUCAUGUUGUCCCCACGGUUCAAUGGAAUGCAUUGUAUCUAAUCAGGACAUCCAAUCAGUGGUUUCAUCAUCACAGAGAACCCACAAACAUGUACAGCAAGGGAGCAGAUACCUUUGUGACCUUGGAGCUCCUUGUGCAGGUCAUGCCCUCCAUCUACAUGGAAGGAAGGAGCUGUUGCUGCUGCUGCUCCAGACCGAAUCAACAAAUCAAGGUGGUGCAUUGUAGACCCUGCAAUCCAUCCAUCCAUAUACAAUCAGGUAUUUGCAUCCACUGUAGACACUGCAGCAGAGAAGAACAGAGCAGAGAAUGGAAUGGAAGAAGAAGACCUGCAGAUGGUGGAGGCCUUGAGGAUGACAACCUGCAGAUGGUGAUGGGCAGGAAGAAAAGAAGACUGCUUGAGCUACUAGUCCAUGGCAUGGGUCUCCUUGACGAGCAGGCCCGGUCCCGGCGCGGAUCUGGCCGCCGGCCGCCAUGGAUCUCCCUCUCCUCUCCUCUCCUGAUGCUGGGUGCGCCCCUCCUGCUCCUCCUCCUCAAGGAGGACCAGGCCAGCGGCUACAAGAAAUAA
rnacentral:rRNA from 1 species